rnacentral:lncRNA from 1 species
CUUUCCCCUCUGCUCCUGCUCCAGUGGUACAAUGUGAUCCACCAGCAAGGAGGGAUGCCAAUAAGUGGUUGCACGUGGGGUUUGUACCUCUUCUGGUGGGUACCGGUUCAAGGUUCUCUUCUGGUGGGUACAGCCAGGUCCAAUAUUCUGAUGGCUCUCCUCUUCCGUGGGUGGAGCCAGUGACAAUGCUAGUCACUGAGCAACCCUGCCCUUCACCUCAACUGCUACAAGGUGCUCCAGACCGUGGGCAAGAUGACCAUGGAAUCGACUUUCCCUGAGUUGCUUGUGCCAACGGAUUCUUGUAAGUUCCAGAGAGCUGAAUUGGAUCCAAACAAACAGGUCUAAGAGGCGUCAGGGAGUUCUGUACAGCCUGGACUGCAAUGAAACAACCAGCUAACCCAGGAUGUGGCAGCACCCCAACCUUCUCAGGUCCCCCAAAGAUGGUCAACGCCCCCCAUGUCAGCAGGAAGCAGUCUUCAGAAUUCGACGCCCUUAUUCCUUAACCUGCCAUGUCUAACACCCCACCUUUUUAAAUAAUAAGUAAAGGUGGGAAUGAAAAGUUCAGGCAUUGACGCUGAUGGCUCUACUUCUUUAAGAGACAGAUCCUGCCCCCUGACAAUACUCAGGACACGUACAGGAAAACGUAC